GACAGGCAGGACCCGAGUGGACGUCAUCAAUGAGCGUCCGCCCUCUGACAGCACGCAUCGGUUCACAGGUGGAUCUUAGCGUGAUCGGGAUGAGUGCGGAUGUCAUCAGCGGGCGCCCUCUCGUCGGAGCCGUGCACCUGGCGUCACUCGUGGUGGGGAUUCUAUUUAAGUGGUUGCUAUGGGACAGGCAGGACCCGAGUGGACGUCAUCAAUGAGCGUCCGCCCUCUGACAGCACGCAUCGGUUCACAGGUGGAUCUUAGCGUGAUCGGGAUGAGUGCGGAUGUCAUCAGCGGGCGCCCUCUCGUCGGAGCCGUGCACCUGGCGUCACUCGUGGUGGGGAUUCUAUUUAAGUGGUUGCUAUGGGACAGGCAGGACCCGAGUGGACGUCAUCAAUGAGCGUCCGCCCUCUGACAGCACGCAUCGGUUCACAGGUGGAUCUUAGCGUGAUCGGGAUGAGUGCGGAUGUCAUCAGCGGGCGCCCUCUCGUCGGAGCCGUGCACCUGGCGUCACUCGUGGUGGGGAUUCUAUUUAAGGCAUGUGUAUUGUAUUUUUGUCUUACCUGAUGACGGAGUGUGAAUAAAGUCUCCGAAACGUUGUACUUCUGCCUUGAGCUGUGAAUUUAUCUGAGUGCCGCCAUACCAGGUUGUAUAUAUAUAUAUAUAUAUAUAUAUAUAUAUAUUCUUUAGGAUGUAUUUUUUUAGUAAUCAUUGA